rnacentral:rRNA from 1 species
UACGUAGGUGACAAGCGUUGUCCGGAUUUACUGGGCGUAAAGAGCGCGCAGGCGGUCGUUCAAGUCGAGUGUGAAAGCCCCCGGCUCAACUGGGGAGGGUCAUUCGAUACUGAUCGACUCGAAGGCAGGAGAGGGUAGUGGAAUUCCCGGUGUAGUGGUGAAAUGCGUAGAUAUCGGGAGGAACACCAGUGGCGAAGGCGACUACCUGGCCUGUUCUUGACGCUGAGGCGCGAAAGCUAGGGGAGCAAACAGGG